AUACGUAGGUUGCAAGCGUUGUCCGGAUUUACUGGGUGUAAAGGGUGCGUAGGCGGAUUGGCAAGUCAGAUGUGAAAUACCGCAGCUUAACUGCGGGGCUGCAUUUGAAACUGUCGAUCUUGAGUGCAGGAGAGGUAAGCGGAAUUCCCAGUGUAGCGGUGAAAUGCGUAGAUAUUGGGAGGAACAUCAGUGGCGAAGGCGAGUGACUGGACUGUAACUGACGCUGAGGCGCGAAAGUGUGGGGAGC
rnacentral:rRNA from 1 species